GACGUAAGUUGCAAGCGUUAUCCGGAAUCACUGGGCAUAAAGGGCAUCUAGGCGGUUACGUAAGUCAGAAGUGAAAAUUCAGGGCUCAACCCUGUCCUUGCUUUUGAAACUGCGUGACUAGAGUACAGGAGAGGAGGGCGGAACUACAAGUGUAGAGGUGAAAUUCGUAGAUAUUUGUAGGAAUGCCGAUGACGAAGGUAGCUCUCUGGACUGAAACUGACGCUGAAGUGCGAAAGCUAGGGUAGCAAACGGG
rnacentral:rRNA from 1 species